UGGUGCAUGGUUGUCGUCAGCUCGUGUCGUGAGAUGUGGUUAAGUCCGCAACGAGCGCAACCCUCGACCUUAGUUGCCAGCAUUCAGUUGGGCACUCUAAGGUGACUGCCGGCUAAAAGUCGGAGGAAGGUGGGGAUGACGUCAAAUCAUCAUGCCCCUUAUGACCUGGGCUACACACGUGCUACAAUGGGCGGUACAAAGGGUCGCGAACCCGCGAGGGGGAGCCAAUCCCAAAAAGCCGCUCUCAGUUCGGAUUGCAGGCUGCAACUCGCCUGCAUGAAGCCGGAAUCGCUAGUAAUCGCGGAUCAGCAUGCCGCGGUGAAUACGUUCCCGGGCCUU
rnacentral:rRNA from 1 species